GCUCGGUCCAAGUUGCACAUAUGUGGCGAAUCCCGGAUAUUCAAAGGCGUAUGCCGCUGCAUGAUGAGCNNCGGAGGAUUAGGUAGUUGGUAGGGGAAGGGCCUACCANGCCGAUGAUCCUUAGCUGGCCUGAGAGGNNNGCCAGCNACACUGGGACUGAGACACGGCCCAGACUCCUUCGGGAGGCAGCAGUGGGGAAUCUUGGACAAUGGGCGAAAGCCUGAUCCAGCGAGGCCGCGUGGGCGAAGAAGGCAAUUGCCNNGUAAAGUCCGUGUGCCGAGAGUAGAUCAUGACCUGUCUCGNNGAUAA
rnacentral:rRNA from 1 species